rnacentral:rRNA from 1 species
CCUACGGGGGACAGCAGUGAGGAAUAUUGGUCAAUGGACGAGAGUCUGAACCAGCCAAGUAGCGUGAAGGAUGACUGCCCUAUGGGUUGUAAACUUCUUUUAUAUGGGAAUAAAAUGUUCCACGUGUGGGCUUUUGUAUGUACCCUAUGAAUAAGGAUCGGCUAACUCCGUGCCAGCAGCCGCGGUAAUACGGAGGAUCCGAGCGUUAUCCGGAUUUAUUGGGUUUAAAGGGAGCGUAGGUGGAUUGUUAAGUCAGUUGUGAAAGUUUGCGGCUCAACCGUAAAAUUGCAGUUGAAACUGGCAGUCUUGAGUACAGUAGAGGUAGGCGGAAUGCGUGGUGUAGCGGUGAAAUGCAUAGAUAUCACGAAGAACUCCGAUUGCGAAGGCAGCUCACUGGACUGCAACUGACGCUGAGGCUCGAAAGUGUGGGUAUCAAACAGGAUUAGAUACCCCUGUAGUC